rnacentral:lncRNA from 1 species
CUUUUUAUCAGGGUCAAAAACAAUUUAUUUUUUUCUCUAAAAACUGGAAAAAAAAUUAUUUUCCAGAAAAUCAAUAGCCCCCAUCCCUGAAAAUCAAAAUGGUUACUGCCUUAGAGAUUAGAGCCUCUACUUUUAUUUGGAAAAUAUUAAUCAAGUUCAGGGCUUAUAUUUAUAAUAAUUAAUGGAAUUUAAAUUUUCAGAAUUAUACACACUUGUCAUGCUUGUAGUUCCCAAGAUGUAAGUGAAAGUGAAGUUAUACAAUGAAAUGAAUGAAUUGAUUAGAUAUACAUGUAGAUGAGACCCUAUAGCUACAGUACAUGUAAUUGGUAUGUAUUUGUUACAGUAAGUGUAGUGGUAUGACAAAAAUGCUGAAUCAUGUGCAAAUUUAAAAAGGAGUUCACGCAAACUGACGAAAUAAAAGAAAAACACUACCAAUCAACAGAUCAAGGGAAAAGUUAAUCUGCUAUAUACAUGUAUGGAAUAGGCAUGUAGUUACAUUUAUUUACCUCUGUAAUUUUCAGUCCAUGUAAAUUUAUGAGAUUAAAAUUUUAUAUUCUGGGUAUCCUAAGAUUUCAAUUCUUAUUUAAUUCAUAUUAAUAUUAUUCCCAUGUGCUAAUUUAUGCUUGUAGUUUGAGGAAAAUUAUCAAAAUAGCUCGACUAAAAUUAAACAAUUACUGAUAUCAUGAACUAGGCAAUUUUUGCUUUGUCAGAUGUUCAAAUUUAAAAUUUCCUGUAGAAACGGAAAGAUGGUCCAGACUUUCAAAAAAUGCACGAAUUUGUCAUCUCUGUGAAAAUGGAAUAGGAGAUGAAUUUCAUUAUCUAUUUAAAUGUCAAAAACAGGAAAUAAAACUGCUUAGAAAUAAGUAUAUACCACAAUAUUAUACUGCAAAUCCAACGGAGUACAAAUUUAAACAGCUUUUAACAUUUUGUCAUGUAGAACUUUACAAAAACUUAGCAAUAUUUUUUUUAUUUCUAAGUACACGAUACUUGUGAUUUAUGUAGUCUUUUUUGAGUUGAAUGUUAUGGUAGUUUGUAAAUUGACAUUUUGCUAUAUUUUACCAUGUUUGUAGCAUUAUUAUGUUUAGUGUAUAUUGUGUAUAAAAAUGUGUAUACAUGUAUAUUAUGAUGUCCUCUUGUACACCUAUGUGUCUGAGCCUCAGGUUUAUUAAUAAAGUAUUGUCUAUUGUCAAAUGACAUACAUUAAAUCUGACAUACAUUAAAUCAAAAAAAAGAAAAAGAUUGUAUGGUGUACAAUACUGUCUGGGCAGGGUUCAUUGGUCAAUAUAAAGUGUCAUAUUUUGGUCUGUUUAUUGUAUACUACACUAGCUAUAAUCAAUUAAGAAAUCAGCUGUUUUUGGUGUAAGCUAUGACUGUAAGGGCUAAGACAUGUAAGAAGGGGGCUUGAAAAUGAUGAGUUGUGUUUUUAUAGGCACUAAGUAUACUUAUAUAUAUAUAUAUAUAUCAGUCUAAAGAUUUGCACAACGGUACUGAUAUAAGAUGUUAUAAUACGAAAAUGUUGUUAUUAAAUCGUGUUGACAAAUAUUUCGGCUCAACAAAUGGCCUUCUUCAAGUGUCACAAGUUUUAACAAUUUGUUAAAACUUGUGACACUUGAAGAAGGCCAUUUGUUGAGCCGAAAUAUUUGUCAACACGAUUUAAUAACAACAUUUUCGUAUUAUAACAUCUUAUAUCAGUACCGUUGUGCAAAUCUUUAGACUGAUAAAUUUUUUCCUUAUCUGCAUAGUAUCGCCUAUUCUAGACGAUCCGGUACAUAGUAAAUUGCUGGUUGGUCGUUUUUAUAGACUUUUAUAUAUAUAUAUAUAUAUAUAUAUAUAAUAUAUAUAUAUAAUAUAUACAGGUUAUAUGUAGUACACAUAUAAUGUAUAUGAAAACAAACUGUCUUCAGUAAUAUAUUAUACUUAUUAUAAAUUAUAAAACAUGUAACGUGGUAAGACUUCCAAUGAGACAACUAUCCACUAGAGUCCAAAUAACUGAAUACUGCCAACUAUAAAUGAUCAUAUGUACAGCUUUCAACGAUGAGCAAAACUGAUACAGCAUAAGUGAGCUAUAAAAUGUCCUGAAACAGGGUUGGCAAUUCAAAAACCUGGGUUUUAUGAGUAUUGCAAUGCCCAGCCCAGUUGGAAAUACUAGUAAAAAACCUAGGUCUGGGUUUUACUAAAAAUCACCAUAAAGUCACCAAUUGAUCAUGUCAGAGCUCGAGCUUAAAAUACAAUACAAUUUUCUCCUAAUUAUAAGUUUGGUAAAUCAUUGGAGAUUAAAUUGAUGUAAUCUUUUUUGCUUGAACCUUGACUCCAGAAACAAACAUUACAUGUGGAUUUUAUUAUAUUACAGGAACUGUAGGAAGUUUUCCAAGAGCUGAAAGUGAUUGCUAAGUAUGCAUUACAGGAUUUUAUCAUUGGAGCAACAUCUUAGGAGGAUAAACUUGUGCAAAUGUAUGAAGGAAUCCUUGAGUACAAAUAGCAAUUAUAUGCAGAAGAGGACUCUUAAACAUUAUAAACAGACAUGAAGUAAUAGUAGUGGUGUAUUCAAGAAGUGUAAACCACCUGGAAUAAACUAUUGUGUAUAUUUUUUCAACCACAAGUACUUUCAGAAUAUAAUACAAUUCAAAUUCAAAUUAUUGUGUCAACAGACAAGUAAUGUUAAAAAAAUGAAAAUGCAUGUUGUUUUAAAAUGAAAUUUGUAUAUAAAAAAAAACGAAAUAACAAAAUUUUUUUUAGCUUAUUGUGCAGCCAAAAUUUGAGAUCCUUUACUGUGGUAUUAUGCUUGUUUUUUUGUCAACAUUUUCCCUAAAUCUUAAGAUCAGUGUUAAAAUGAGAAAAACUAUUUUUGCAUAUAUGAAACAAGAAGUAAAUGGUUG